CAGCUAUCUAUUGUUUCCAUGCCUGCUGUGUCCCGAUGGCUGGAUGAAAAAGAAUCCUAAUGUCUUUGCAUCUUGUCAUCAGGCCCCUGGAGUUGAAAAUAAUAUGAGUAUAUCACUGGUAAAUGUCAUAAGUACUGAGAGAUGUCAACUGACCACAGUUAAGAGGUCUGGAAUUCAAAUCAAGAGCAACUGAUCUUUAUCUGAAAUGAGUGCAGAUUCGUCGUUAUAGGGCUGUAACACAGCAAUAAAACACGAAAGAAGGUAUCAGAAAUAUGAACAUUGCUUACAGCGCUGGGACUGUGAUGUCAAGACACAGGC